AUUGAACGCUGGCGGCAGGCCUAACACAUGCCAGUCGAACGGUAACAGGAAGCAGCUUGCUGCUUUGCUGACGAGUGGCGGACGGGUGAGUAAUGUCUGGGAAACUGCCCGAUGGAGGGGGAUAACUACUGGAAACGGUAGCUAAUACCGCAUAACGUCGCAAGACCAAAGAGGGGGACCUUAGGGCCUCUUGCCAUCGGAUGUGCCCAGAUGGGAUUAGCUAGUAGGUGGGGUAACGGCUCACCUAGGCGACGAUCCCUAGCUGGUCUGAGAGGAUGACCAGCCACACUGGAACUGAGACACGGUCCAGACUCCUACGGGAGGCAGCAGUGGGGAAUAUUGCACAAUGGGCGCAAGCCUGAUGCAGCCAUGCCGCGUGUAUGAAGAAGGCCUGCGGGUUGUAAAGUACUUUCAGCGGGGAGGAAGGGAGUAAAGUUAAUACCUUUGCUCAUUGACGUUACCCGCAGAAGAAGCACCGGCUAACUCCGU
rnacentral:rRNA from 1 species